GACGGCAGAAGGGGAUGAAAACGAGACGGGAAGCAGAUGGCAGCGGGAAUCUGGCGGUUGCGGCAUUUUCAAAAUGGGCAGCAGCAGGCUCAGAAGUUGUUUUGGUCAACAAGUGUUCUUCAAAGUCAGAAAAACCGGGUCAGCGUCCAACAGUUGCGCUCGAAGCAGUGACGGGACUAGAGAUGAUUGUCAACUUGCACGGAACUCUCCGGAUCUAGACAGGAUUGACGUCGACAAAUGGGCACGACAGUGGUACCUUGACUUAUGAGUGCCGCAACUGUUUGUGCUUUGUGUUGGGAGCCAACAUUUGAGUCACUGCUGCUCGAGUGAUGUGAGUAAAAACUAUAAAGCAAUUGAGAUGGACCGUGGUCCUCAGUCGGAAAAGGGAAGCGUGCCCUCUCCAGGUCGUGGAAGAGAUCCUGCCUCAAGUGGAGGAGUUCAAGUAUCUCGGCGUCUUGUUCACGAGUGAGGGAAGAAUGGAGCGGGAGAUCGACGUGGAUCGGUGCAACGUCUUUGGCGAUGCGGACUCUGUAACGGUCUGUCGUGGUGAAAAAUAUUAACUAACCGGUCAGGUCGAUCUCGGUUCCUACCCUCACCUCUGCUCACGAGCUGUGAGUCGUGAGCGAAAGAACAAGAUGGCGGAUACAAGCUCGGUCAUCCGGGAGGGGCUCAGAGUCGAUCCGCCGCUCCGCCGCUCCUUCUCCGAGAGGAGCCAGAUGAGGUGGCUCGGGCAUCCCGGACGCCUCCCCGGUGAGGUGUUCCGGGCACAUCCCACCGGGAGGAGACCCCGGGGACGACCCAGGACACGCUGGAGAGACUCCGUCUCCCGGCUGACCUGGGAAGGCCUCGGAAUAACUGGACGAAGUGGUUGGGGAGAGGGAAGUCUGGGUUUCGCUGCUUGAGCUCCUGCCCCUGCGACCCAACCCUGGAUAAGUGGAAGAAGAUGGCGGGACAAUAUAGUGUUGUUUUUUUAAACAUUCUCUUGUUACGGUUUGGUUUUGCAACACCACUUUGGUGUUGACUCUACGCUUGAACUGGCCAAACUGGUUGUGAGCAAAGAAUGCGGCAGAGAAUCUGGUUUCGCCAUCGACGCCCGCCUCGCUUUGAUAUCCUCUUCCAGGCCUUCCGUUCACACAAACACGGGCAUAUACUCAUUUCCGCGACACAUAGUUUAGGAGAGUCGCGCUUGCCUUGGGGGAUUUCAGCCUUUACCUCCAACCCACGUGCCUCCACCUUUCUCUCUCUCUCUGCGGCGUGUAGUCCUCGCACAACACAAAGGCUCUUUCUAUUGCUCAGCAGCCAGUGAAAAAGGGCCCAGUUUGUCACCAUCCACCUCCGCCCGCAGCUGAGCUCCCUCAUGUGCGCUGACAUCACCGGCACGGAGCGCCCCCCCCCCCCCGAUCGGCGGCGGCCUCGGCGGACCGCAGUGCCGAGGGCACCUUUCUUGCGAGCAUGCGUCGAGGUUCCUCGGAGAACAACCUGGAUCUGGAUCUGAGCGAUGCCGUACCUGCUCCCUCUCUGGCCUUGGAGGUCCAGCGCAGCCGCUCCUGCUUGGACAACCUCCAGCAGAAGAUCCUGAAAGUGACGGAGCAGCUGAAGAUCGAGCAGACGGCGCGGGACGACAACGUGGCCGAGUACCUGAAGCUGGUGAACAGCGCGGACAAGCAGCAGGUGGGCCGCAUCAAGCAGGUGUUUGAGAAGAAGAACCAGAAGUCGGCGCAAAACAUCGCCCAAAUGCAGAAGAAGCUGGAGCAAUAUCACCGCAAGAUGAAGGACAGCGAACUCCAGCACACCCCGUCGCCGCAACCGUCCAGUGGCAAACACAGCACCAUACCCAGGGAGUCCCGCCGGGAGCUGCUGAGGGACAUGACGGGCAGCGGCCGACACCCGACCAUGGACAAGAUCAAGACCAUUGGACCCGGCGUUUCCCUCUCGCCCCCUUUCUUCUUCAGCAAACCCAGAGAAUUCGCUAAUCUCAUCAGGAACAAAUUCGGCAGCGCUGACAACAUCGCCCAAAUGAAGACCUCCAUGGACGCGUCCGCACCGCUGCCUGACGAGGCGGCGGCGAAGGGUCUGAGUAGCAGCGCCUCACUGGUGGGCAAGCCCAAGUAUCCCAGCGAUGACGAGUGCUCCACAGGGAGCGCCUCCAACUCGGCAGACAGUAACGGGCUCACGGCGGGCGCGCAAGGGCACGGCCAACAGGUGGGGGGCGACGCCCACGGCGGACUGGCCGUGAGCCUGGAGGAGGCCAGAGUCAUUAAAGACGCACAGAACCAACUGGGCGAGGACAUGGAGGAGAUCAAGGCCCAGUUCAAGAGGGAGUACGGUGUCAUCAACCAAACACUGCAGGAGGAGCGAUACAGGUAUGCGCGUUUGGAGGACCAACUCAACGACUUGACGGAGCUUCACCAACACGAGAUGACAGACCUGAAGCAAGAGCUGGCCAGCAUUGAGGAGCGGGUGGACUACCAGGCCCAAGAGAGAGCCCGCGACAUUCAGGAAGCUCUGGAGUCGUGUCAGACGCGGUUGUCCAAGCUGGAGUUCCAGCAGCAGCAGCAGCAGACGGUCCAGCUGGAGAGCGGCGACGCCCGCGUCCUCCUGGGCCGCAGCAUCAACAUCAUGUUGGCCAUCAUCACCGUCAUCCUCGUGUGCGUCUCCACCGCCGCCAAGUUCGCCGCCCCGCUCGUGAGGAGCCGCCAGCACGUCGUGGCCACCUUCUUCACCGUCUUCUUCAUCACCGUUUUCUGGAAGAACUGGGAGCGCUUGCAGUACGCCGUAGACAGAGUGCUGUUGCCUGCGUAACGACAACAAAACAAAUCAGCUGGGAGGUGAUUGGUUGUACAAUCGUCUGCAGGCGUUAGUCUCAAUUUUAAGAGUCAGGCUCAAGUGAAAUGAUUUUAUUUCCGGUCUUCAGUUUGAAUCUGUCUACCUAACAGUUCCAUUUAACCGCCAUCAUUCUAUUGCUAGUUUAUUAUACAGUGAACCCCCGUUUAUCGCAGGGACACGUUCCAGACGCACCUGCGACAAGUGAAAACCAGCAAAAUAGCAUUUUAAAAAUAGUUUGAACCCUCCCACACGCUUGAAACACAUUGAAAUGUAUUAAAACACAACUUAAACGUUUUAAAACACACUUAGGGAAGUAUUUCUCACUCUUUUACUUGAAGUAGGAGGUUAUCGUACAGUACAACAUCGCUUUGCGGAAACACAAUGAAGACUCGCGCUCGCACGCUUCUCCGAAUAAGAGGCAACGCGUGUAUGCUUCACGCGGUUGAAGUUUGUGAAAACUGUAAAACUGGCACAUAAUACAAAACAAAUUGUAAACGUAAACAAAAUGUUCAAGCAAACCAUCUAAUUUCAUCAAAUGAAAGUCUGCAAGCUUAAUGCUAACAUAUAAUGUGAAACGCCAUAGACAGGCUAACGGACCUUUGCACAGGUGUUAUGGUACAGUGGAUUGCUGCUGACCGCAAAUAGCGAAAAUCUGCAAAUGAAUGACUAUCUUAUAGUUGCCAUAAAAAAAAAAUAUGUUUUGGGAAAAAAAAAAAAAAAUAAUCAGUAUAAAGGAGACUUGGCGAAUGCCAAACCACAAAUAUGCGGGAGUUCAUGGUAAUUAUAAACCUUUGAAUAAAUGCUACUGAACACUCAUGCAACAAUGUGGUACUACUGUAAAAACCUGUAAAAAAAAAAAAAAAAAAACUUCAAUAUUUUCACUAAAGCGGGGGUGCGCUGUAUUUACCGAAUAAAACAAAAGGACCAAAACGGCUUUUGAAUUUAUUUUAAGCAGAAAGCCUUGAAGGAAGAAAAUAAAAGGCUUUAACGCUAAACGUGACGCCAACAGGAAGUUGUCUCAAAACUUGAAGUACUCUUUUUAAACACACUCACACUCGUACUCACUGCAUCGAAAGAUCGGCCUUUGCAAAGGUAACGAUAAUGAUCGCCCUAAUCAUAAUAAUUAUCGGCAAGCCACGCUUAAUCCACCUUUUUUGUUUCUUAAUCAAUAACUGGGGCAUCGGCUCGUGACUCGGUAUCGGCACAACCUCCAAAUCAGGUGACUUGCACCCGGCCGAAAAAGUGUAACACGUCUUGCUUCGCAUUAUUUCUUGGGUAUGCGCAUAACGCGCGUAGGCGUGCCUAAUGAAAUGUCCAGCGAGUGUAUUUCCUUUGUAAAAGUUGCACAUAUUUAAAUCGACUAACCUUGCACAAAUGGUAAAAAAAAAUACAUCGAAAAAUAAUUUCUUAAUCACAUUUUCUUAAUCGGGUUUGAAUCCCGAUCGAAGUCUCCAAAUUGUGCUUGCUUGUUUGUUGAUAUGCGAUUGAUUGUUGCAAUAAUCUCCAAUCUUUUGUCAUCUGUCAUUCCCCCCCCCCCCCCCCCCGAACUGUUCCUGAAUGGAUGAAUGUUUUUAAUUCAUCAUCUUUUUUUGUUUUGUUUUUAAUAUAUGUUUUUUUAAUGUUUUCCUGGUGUUUUUAAAGUGCAAUAUACACUACAGUGUACAUCAAGUUUGUGCUUAUUGGGCUUUGGGUUGAAAUUUCAGGAUGAACUUCAAUUAUUGUUUCAUUAGCUUUUUCUAUUACUCCCCCCCCCCCCCCCCCCCCCCCGCCCUUCCCUUUUUUAAUAUGGAUCAUCGAAAUAAACAUUCAAUUCAAUUCCAUUCAAUUCAAAUAACAUAUACCUCUAUGCCUUUCUGUGAGUCUUCCAGUAUCUGAGGUGACCCUUUGAGAACAUCUCGCUUGUGGCCUUCUGAGGCCGCCAUAUUUGAGGUUCAUUCUGAAGCCCAAUAUCACGAAUGUUUUGUGAGUAGCGCAUUUUCUUUUCUUUCUGCGAGCACUGCUUUUUUGUUUUUCUUUCUCUCUCUCUCUCUUUCUCUCUCUCUCUCUCUCUCUCUCUUCCCCCCCCCCCCCCCCCCCUCGUUUGUACUUCAUCGUACGAAUGUUACUUGCGACGAGACACCGGCGUUGCUGGAGGCCGGUCGUGGAAGCGUCUGUCGUGCUGCCGGAGAUCUACGAGCGCUUCAAGCUCCUGCUGGGCUCCGAUAAGACCUCAUCUCGUCUCUCCGGGGGCCAUUUCGCCCACCCUCCAAGCAGGCACACAAAAAACUCAGCACAGUGGCGUACCUUCUUUUUUUCCUUUCUUUUUUUACUAAUAUGUGAUUGUUUUGUCAGGGGUUAAACUGUGAUACUUUUUUUUUUUUUUAAAGCUCAAAACAACCUCGAAGGAAGACAGGAGCCCAUUCCAAAAGGAGCUUGGCAAUAAACUACAUUAAUAAUAAUACUAAUAAUUCUUGUUCAUGUGCAGAGGUGGUAAAAGUAAUCAAAAAAAGACCGGUUAAUGAGGAAGUACUAACCCUUUUGUAAAAAAAAAAAAAAAAAGUACUGAUUCGAGUCCUUUGCCUAAAACAACAACAAAAAAGUACUCCCAAUCUGUACUUGGGUAGAAGUUCAGAUGGAGGCAAAAUCGACUCACCAAGUAUUUGUACUUGGUUACUUCCCACCACUGUUCAUGUGAUAACCAAUGUUUACUUUUCUUACGUGUCUUUUUUUUUUUUUUUCCAACUUGGUCCACCCAGGUGGUCGAUCAGUUAGAGCGUCUGCCUCACCGUUCUGAGGAGCUGGGUUCAAUCCCCGCCCCCGCCUGUGUGGAGUUUGCAUGUUUUCUCCGGGCACUCCGGUUUCCUCCCACAUCCCAAAAACAUGCGCGGCAGGUUGAUUGAAGACUCUAAAUUGCCCGUAGGUGUGACUGUGAGCAUGAAUGGUUGUUUGUUUGUACGUGCUCUGUGAUUGGCUGGCGACCGGUUCAGGGUGUACCCCGCCUACCCCCCCCCCGAAGAUAGCUGGGAUGGGCUCCAGCACGCCCGCGACCCGCGUGAGGAGAAGCGGCUCGCAAAAUGGAAGGAUGUAUGGAUGGAUGGUCUACCGACUGAAUCUUAAGUUUUGCCUUCAAAACCCACACUUGGCGGUCAUAAUAUUAGGUACACCUCAAGUGGGAUCCAAUGCUAAGAGCUUGAUCAAAUAAUAAUAAUAAUCAUAAUAAUAAUAAAUACAUGAAUAACAUGUCGGCCAAGUUUUGAUUGACACCGUCAUUCCUAAAACUGAGCUUUGUUCUCUCUUGGCUGGCGUGAGAUUGUGCUGCAGGUGUACCUAAUGAAGCGGCCCGCCCGAGUGGGCAAACCUGGUUUACGUUAACCUCUCACCUCUGGUGCACAAUGUGAUCAAACAGAUGCGAUGGAUCAUUUGCAUUUCCGCGGAUCUGAUGUGCCUUUUGUCUUACAGUGAUGAUUGUUACAUUAAAAACCUUUUUAAUCACUUUA